UACGUAGGGGGCAAGCGUUGUCCGGAAUCAUUGGGCGUAAAGCGCGUGUAGGCGGCUCGGUAAGUCCGCUCUGAAAGUCCAGGGCUCAACCCUGGGAUGCGGGUGGAUACUGCCGGGCUCGAGUCCGGAAGAGGCGAGUGGAAUUCCCGGUGUAGCGGUGAAAUGCGCAGAUAUUAGGAAGAACACCAAUGGCGAAAGCAGCUUUCUGGGACGGUACUGACGCUGAGACGCGAAAGCGUGGGGAGCGAACAGG
rnacentral:rRNA from 1 species